ACUCCUGCGGGAGGCAGCAGUAGGGAAUCUUCCGCAAUGGGCGAAAGCCUGACGGAGCAACGCCGCGUGAGUGAUGAAGGUCUUCGGAUCGUAAAACUCUGUUAUUAGGGAAGAACAUAUGUGUAAGUAACUGUGCACAUCUUGACGGUACCUAAUCAGAAAGCCACGGCUAACUACGUGCCAGCAGCCGCGGUAAUACGUAGGUGGCAAGCGUUAUCCGGAAUUAUUGGGCGUAAAGCGCGCGUAGGCGGUUUUUUAAGUCUGAUGUGAAAGCCCACGGCUCAACCGUGGAGGGUCAUUGGAAACUGGAAAACUUGAGUGCAGAAGAGGAAAGUGGAAUUCCAUGUGUAGCGGUGAAAUGCGCAGAGAUAUGGAGGAACACCAGUGGCGAAGGCGACUUUCUGGUCUGUAACUGACGCUGAUGUGCGAAAGCGUGGGGAUCAAACAGGAUUAGAAACCCUUGUAGUCCCAUG
rnacentral:rRNA from 1 species